CGGGGGGAGCAAAGCGUUGUUCGGAUUUACUGGGCGUAAAGGGCGCGUAGGCGGCCACCGCAAGUCGACUGUGAAAUCUCCGGGCUUAACCCGGAAAGGUCAGCCGAUACUGCGGGGCUAGAGUGCAGAAGGGGCAACUGGAAUUCUCGGUGUAGCGGUGAAAUGCGUAGAUAUCGAGAGGAACACCUGCGGCGAAGGCGGGUUGCUGGGCUGACACUGACGCUGAGGCGCGAAAGCUAGGGGAGCGAACGGGAUUAGAUACCCCGGUAGUCCUAGCCUUAAACGAUGAAUGCUUGGUGUCUGGGGUUUUAUAGUCCCCGGGUGCCGUCGCUAACGCUUUAAGCAUUCCGCCGUGGGGAGUACGGUCGCAAGACUG
rnacentral:rRNA from 1 species